UUCUCUUCUCAUUACUAUUCUAUAUCAAUAGUUGUCUUCAACUCAAUGGAAAUCCCACAGGAUUGUGAUUCCAUCUAUUGCGGUGAGUGCAGAACUCGAGUUGCAUUCAUCGAGAAUGCCCCUGUUGAGGUGUGGCCAGCUGGGAUCUUUGUUAGGCUGUUUAAUGUAGACAACCAGGAUAUUCAUCAAUCAGAAUUUGAAACUACCUUAGCUGAUUCUUGCUGUGUCCAAUGUGGAAAGCUUCUCGGGUGGAAAUUU